AUAAUUCAUUGGCUCAAAUCUAGGUUUUGUCUUUAGAUUUCUAGAAAAUGUACAACUAAGGAAUCAUUUUUAACUUCUGACUUCUCAAACCCCAAAUCACGGCAUCGGUCGACUUCCUACAGUCUUCUUCCCAGCGGUCCCGGUGGACUCGGGAUGUUGCGUCUGGGUUUAGGAAAUCUGGUUAUGUAAUUUCCUCAUGAAGUUGAAAGUAAGUUUGCAGGCGAAUGCACUUACAAAAUGGAUGUUGAAACUGUGGCGCACAUUUCUCGGCAACAUUAGAAGUCGGGUAAAAGUAUUGAUUUGAAGGAAAGACGAGCAGAUUCUGGGGUCAGUGCUCUAAAAUGAGUCUCUCUGGGGAGAGAAAGGAGAGAAAGGAGGGGGGCCUGCAUCUAAAAGGAGUCUCUCUGAGGAGAGCGAGGAGGGGGGCCUGCCUCUAAAAGGAGUCUCUCUGGAGAACAUGACACCAAAGCUAAGAGAUGGGAGCAUAUGACCAAGAAGCAUCAGUUAUAGACUACAAGCAGCAAUAUGAUGGACCAUGAAGCAUCAGUUAUAGUCAACAAGCAGCAAUAUGAUGGACCAUGAAGCAUCAGUUAUAGGCUACAAGCAGCAAUAUGAUGGACAUAAAAUAGCAGGCAACCACAGACUAUCGUCUGUGGACCUAUCCAAAUAGGUCCACAGACGAUGCAAUCUCAACCACACUGCACACUGCCCUAACCCACCUGGACAAGAGGAAUACCUAUGUGAGAAUGCUGUUCAUCGACUACAGCUCGGCAUUCAACACCAUAGUACCCUCCAAGCUCGUCAUCAAGCUCGAGACCAUGGGUCUCGACCCCGCCCUGUGCAACUGGGUACUGGACUUCCUGACGGGCCGCCCCCAGGUGGUGAGGGUAGGCAACAACAUCUCCUCCCCGCUGAUCCUCAACACGGAGGCCCCACAAGGGUGCGUUCUGAGCCCUCUCCUGUACUCCCUGUUCACCCACGACUGCGUGGCCAUGCACGCUCCAACUCAAUCAUCAAGUUUGCGGACGACACAACAGUGGUAGGCUUGAUUACCAACUACGACGAGACGGCCUACAGGGAGGAGGUGAGGGCCCUCGGAGUGUGGUGUCAGGAAAAUAACCUCACACUCAACGUCAACAAAACUAAGGAGAUGAUUGUGGACUUCAGGAAACAGCAGAGGGAUCACCCCCUAUCCACAUCGAUGGAACAGUAGUGGAGAGGGUAGCUAGUUUUAAGUUCCUCGGCAUACACAUCACAGACAAACUGAAUUGGUCCACUCACACUGACAGCGUCGUGAAGAAGGCGCAGCAGCGCCUAUUCAACCUCAGGAGGCUGAAGAAAUUCGGCUUGUCACCAAAAGCACUCACAAACUUCUACAGAUGCACAAUCGAGAGCAUCCUGGCGGGCUGUAUCACCGCCUGGUACGGCAACUGCUCCGCCCUCAACCGUAAGGCUCUCCAGAGGGUAGUGAGGACUGCACAACGCAUCACCGGGGGCAAACUACCUGCCCUCCAGGACACCUACACCACCCGUUGUUACAGGAAGGCCAUAAAGAUCAUCAAGGACAUCAACCACCCGAACCACUGCCUGUUCACCCCGCUAUCAUCCAGAAGGCGAUGUCAGUACAGGUGCAUCAAAGCUGGGACCGAGAGACUGAAAAACAGCUUCUAUCUCAAGGCCAUUAGACUGUUAAACAGCCACCACUAACAUUGAGUGGCUGCUGCCAACACACUGUCAUUGACACUGACCCAACUCCAGCCAUUUUAAUAAUGGGAAUUGAUGGGAAAUGAUGUAAAUAUAUCACUAGCCACUUUAAACAAUGCUACCUUAUAUAAUGUUACUUACCCUACAUUAUUCAUCUCAUAUGCAUAUGUAUAUACUGUACUCUACAUCAUCGACUGCAUCCUUAUGUAACACAUGUAUCACUAGCCACUUUAACUAUGCCACUUUGUUUACUUUGUCUACACACUCAUCUCAUAUGUAUAUACUGUACUCGAUAUCAUCUACUGUAUGCUGCUCUGUACCAUCACUCAUUCAUAUAUCCUUAUGUACAUGUUCCUUAUCCCCUUACACUGUGUAUAAGACAGUAGUUUUGGAAUUGUUAGUUAGAUUACUUGUUGGUUAUCACUGCAUUGUCGGAACUAGAAGCACAAGCAUUUCGCUACACUCGCAUUUAACAUCUGCUAACCAUGUGUAUGUGACAAAUAACAUUUGAUUUGAUUUGA